UUCAGCCCAGCCCAAUUUGGCCGACCGACCUUUUACGUCUUCUCUUCUUUAGGUCACCCCGGUCCCGCGACUCGCGAGACUCGCGAAUCGCACUUAAGAACUCACCUUCCUCGUAACGCCGUCGUUGCUUUCAGAAGAAUCACUUUUGUGCGGCGACACCGGUUCUUGAUUUCUUUCUAGCCGGUAUUGCAAAUAUAUGGAGUUCAAACCCGUCGUAGCCCUGAGGGCCGUCCUUGUAGGCGGAGUUGCUGCAUUUGCCAAAGUGGCUAGUGUUGUGAAGGCUGCCGGUGGUGUAAAGGUGGGCGCAGCAGCUGCUGCUAUGACUGCUGCAGCAACAGCAGCUGUUUCGGGAACCAAGAACGAGGAAAAAGAUAAAUGAAGUUAUAAUUUUGGUGGAUCAAAAGCAUUUUUGUUUAUCUAUAAAAGAAUUUCUAGGCUUUUCAAUGUUAUGACAGAAGUUUCUGUCUUCGCGAAUUUAUUUGUUAUUCAUAUCAUAUGAGUGUAUAUCAACUUAUGCUACAUUUCAUUUAGCUACAGGAAAAUUCUCUACAAGCUAAAUUUUUUGGCCU